rnacentral:rRNA from 1 species
GACGAACGCUGGCGGCGUGCUUAACACAUGCAAGUCGAACGGAAAGGCCCUGCUUUUGUGGGGUGCUCGAGUGGCGAACGGGUGAGUAACACGUGAGUAACCUGCCCUUGACUUUGGGAUAACUUCAGGAAACUGGGGCUAAUACCGGAUAGGAGCUCCUGCUGCAUGGUGGGGGUUGGAAAGUUUCGGCGGUUGGGGAUGGACUCGCGGCUUAUCAGCUUGUUGGUGGGGUAGGGGCUUACCAAGGCUUUGACGGGUAGCCGGCCUGAGAGGGUGACCGGCCAAAUUGGGACUGAGAUACGGCCCAGACUCCUACGGGAGGCAGCAGUGGGGAAUAGUGCACAAUGGGCGGAAGCCUGAUGCAGCAACGCCGCGUGCGGGAUGACGGCCUUCGGGUUGUAAACCGCUUUCGCCUGUGACGAAGCGUGAGUGACGGUAAUGGGUAAAGAAGCACCGGCUAACUACGUG